rnacentral:lncRNA from 1 species
UUUCACCGUGGACUGGCAGAUUUUACUCUCUGUUGGAUCCAACAUAUGCUAAGGAUCACAUCCCCAUCAUUGCAUCUGUCUCUGAGCAUCAGCCAACAGCUUGGUCAUCUUUCAUGUUUGAUUUCCACAUCCUACUUUUCCUUUUCCCUGCUGGUCUGUAUUUCUGCUUCAAGCGGCUGUCAGAUGCCACAAUAUUCAUUGUUAUGUAUGGCCUAACAAGCAUGUAUUUUGCUGGUGUCAUGGUUCGGUUAAUUCUUGUUGCUACACCUGCGGUAUGCUUAAUUAGCGCCAUUGCUGUUUCUGCCACUAUAAAGAAUUUGACUAUG